rnacentral:tRNA from 1 species
GGGCAAGUCUGCAUAGCGGCGAUUGCAGCGGACUGUAAAUCCGUAACAUCAGAAACACCGUAGGUUCGAGUCCUACCUUGCCCA